GACGAACGCUGGCGGCGUGCUUAACACAUGCAAGUCGAACGGAAAGGCCCCUUUGGGGGUACUCGAGUGGCGCACGGGUGAGUAACACGUGAGUAACCUGCCCUUGACUUCGGGAUAACUUCAGGAAACUGGGGCUAAUACCGGAUAGGAAUCCUUGCUGCAUGGUGGGGGUUGGAAAGCUUCGGCGGUUUUGGAUGGACUCGCGGCUUAUCAGCUUGUUGGUGGGGUAGUGGCUUACCAAGGCUUUGACGGGUAGCCGGCCUGAGAGGGCGACCGGCCACAUUGGGACUGAGAUACGGCCCAGACUCCGACGGGAGGCAGCAGUGGGGAAUAUUGCACAAUGGGCGGAAGCCUGAUGCAGCAACGCCGCGUGCGGGAUGACGGCCUUCGGGUUGUAAACCGCUUUCAGCAGGGGCGAAGCUUGUGGUGACGGUACCUGCAGAAGAAGCACCGGCUAACUACGUG
rnacentral:rRNA from 1 species